CUCCAUCAAUUCUCGAAGUGUGCUAAAGGAAAUUAUCCUUGUGGUACGUUACAGAUAAGCAGGAAGGACUGGCAGGAGAUGAAUUGCUCUGAAGCGUAGCUGGGCUUAUCAGAUCCCCUUUGCCACUUCUGAAGUAGGCAAAACUGCUUAUUAAACAACCAGAAUUUGCAGUUUCCAUCUGCCCCAAGCUGGACUUCGGGCUAGAGGUGUAGCUGCAGGCUGCUGAUCUCCUAAGAAGCACAGGAUUUGGGGUCUGUCUGUGCCACAGUACCAAGAGGUUGUUUAUCUCUUUCUGGGAAGGUUUUAACCCAAGACUUAUAAUCCUGUGCAAUAGUGUCAGCCUCAGAAAACGGAUGCAACAGCUAAGCCACAGUCAUAGACAAGGUAUGAUUGUUGUCUACUAUUUCAUUGGUUUUGGC
rnacentral:lncRNA from 1 species